rnacentral:tRNA from 1 species
GCAGUGGUGGUUCAGUGGCGGAAUUCUUGCCUUCCAUGUGGAAGAACCGGGUUCGAUUCCUGCCCAAUGCA